rnacentral:rRNA from 1 species
GAACUCUGGACCAAUGUUUUUUAAAUUGCUGUGGUAUUUUGACUAUACAAAGGUAUUGAAAUAAGAUUUUAAUUGAAUGCUAAGAGAAUGGAAGUCCAGAAAAAAACUUUUUUUAAAUUAAAAAUUGAAGUUUUUUUAAUUUGUGCAGAAACAAUUAUUUAUAUUAAAGACAAGAAGACCCUAUGAAUUUAUUAAAUUUUUAUUUAAUAUGUAAUUACUAUUAGAAAAAUUUUGGCUGGGGCGGCUAGAAAAUAUUAUGAACUUUUUAAAAAUAAAAUGAUCCAUUAUUAAUGAUUUUAUGUUAAAUACUCUAGGGAUAACAGCGUUAUAUUUUUUGAUAGAUCAUAUUGACAAAAAAGUUUGCGACCUCGAUGUUGGAUUAGGAUACUUUUUUAAUGAAGAUAUAAAAAAAGAAGUUGUCACGGC